rnacentral:SRP_RNA from 1 species
GGGUGGGUCCGGCGCGGCGGAGUCCUUCGAACCCCGUCAGGGCCGAGAGGCAGCAGCGGUAAGGAGGAGCCUCCGGGCGCCGCCGGCAAGCCUGCCCGGC